GUAGGAUCCGAGCGUUAUCCGAAUUUACUGGGCGUAAAGCGCGUGUAGGCGGUUCGGUAAGUUGGACGUGAAAUCUCCCGGCUCAACUGGGCGAGGUCGUUCAAAACUGCCGGGCUCGAGGGCGGUAGAGGGAGGUGGAAUUCCCGGUGUAGUGGUGAAAUGCGUAGAGAUCGGGAGGAACACCAGUGGCGAAAGCGGCCUCCUGGACCGCACCUGACGCUCAGACGCGAAAGCUAGGGGAGCGAACGGGAUUAGAUACCCCGGUAGUCCUAGCCGUAAACGAUGUGGACUUGGCGUGGGUGGGGUAAAAGCCAUCCGUGCCGAAGCCAACGCGAUAAGUCCACCGCCUGGGGACUACGGCCGCAAGGUUAAA
rnacentral:rRNA from 1 species